GGUCCACCCCCAGGAGGGCUCCAAGCAGACGUUCCCCACCUGUUUGUCUUUGCCCAGUACCUGUGUUACCUAGGUAACUGGCACAGCCUGAGGCAGUUACCUCCCCAUUCUCUGAGAUCACGUCCAAUCCACCUGGCCGUACCUCUUGCCUUUCCCUAUAUAAUCCAACUCAGCAAGAGUCUCUUUCCCUCUCCC